rnacentral:rRNA from 1 species
AGAACGAACGUUAGCGGCGCGCCUAACACAUGCAAGUCGCACGAGAAAGGGCUUCGGCCCCGGUAAAGUGGCGACCGGGUGAGUAACACGUGACUAACCUACCUUCGAGUGGGGGAUAACAUCGGGAAACCGAUGCUAAUACCGCAUAACAUCGCAAGAUCAAAGCAGCAAUGCGCUGGAAGAGGGGGUCGCGGCUGAUUAGCUAGUUGGCGGGGUAACGGCCCACCAAGGCGAAGAUCGGU